AAGUCGUAACAAGGUUUCCGUAGGUGAACCUGCGGAAGGAUCAUUAGCGAAGUCUGGAACGUCACACCCGGUCUGAAGCUGGUCGGCAACGGCAUGUGCUCGUCCGGUGUGCGCGUCCCUUCUCUAUCCACCCCUUUGUGAACCAAGCGUGAGGUCCGAAGAGAGAUCGGAAGGCCUCGUGCAACCCUUAACAUACCCCACGAAUGUAAUAGAAUGUGUCAGCGUUAACUCGCAAAAAUACAACUUUCAACAACGGAUCUCUUGGCUCUC
rnacentral:misc_RNA from 1 species